UCAAAGAAUACGAAACGGUUAAAUUUUUGAAAAAAAUGAAGUUUUUAUUUGCUUUCUUUUUGGUAUUGAGCGUAAUUGCUAUUUGCCUUGGCAUUAGUCCAAAGGGACUGGAAUCUUUACCGGACUUAGUAUAUGAAAGACAUCCCGGUCCUUCCCCUCCUGUAUUAAAACAAUCAGCAGGACGUUAAAUCAAAAUGAAAAUAUUUCAAUUUCAUAUAAAAAUAAAAAGGACAUAAUAGCUAA